rnacentral:rRNA from 1 species
CCUACGGGAGGCAGCAGUGAGGAAUAUUGGUCAAUGGGCGCAAGCCUGAACCAGCCAAGUCGCGUGAGGGAUGACGGUCCUAUGGAUUGUAAACCUCUUUUGUCGGGGAGCAAGGCCCGCCACGUGUGGCGGGCAGUAGAGUACCCGAAGAAAAAGCAUCGGCAAACUCCGUGCCAGCAGCCGCGGUAAUACGGAGGAUGCGAGCGUUAUCCGGAUUUAUUGGGUUUAAAGGGUGCGUAGGCGGAAGGUUAAGUCAGUGGUAAAAUGGCGGUGCUCAACACCGGCCUGCCGUUGAAACUGGUCUUCUUGAGUGAGCGAGAAGUAUGCGGAAUGCGUGGUGUAGCGGUGAAAUGCAUAGAUAUCACGCAGAACUCCGAUUGCGAAGGCAGCAUACCGGCGCUCAACUGACGCUGAGGCACGAAAGCGUGGGGAUCGAACAGGAUUAGAUACCCCUGUAGUC